rnacentral:misc_RNA from 1 species
UCCGGCUUGUCGCCGGCGGUCCCUCUAGAGUGCCCAACUGAAUGAUGGCAACUAAAGGCGAGGGUUGCGCUCGUUGCGGGACUUAACCCAACAUCUCACGACACGAGCUGACGACAGCCAUGCAGCACCUGUCUCUGCGCCCCUUGCGGGGACCGUGCAUCUCUGCACGUAGCACAGGAUGUCAAACCCCGGUAAGGUGGGGAUGACGUAAGCCUAUCGAGA